CGGACGGAGUGUGCUCGUGGAUUCGAGUAGGCGUCGUGGAUUCGGCAUGAUUAAGGCUUCGUGGAUUCGAAGUGUGGACGUUUUGUGGAUUCGGGACGUGGCGUUCGUGGAUUCGGACGUGGGGCGUGGACAACCCGUUGGUGUGCGCGAGAUCCGGAGAAGAUGAAAGAUAGGUUUUGUAACAUACCAGAUUUUGGUAUAAAAAUAAAAAUAAAUAAAAAUAGUGUGAGAAACUACUUUUAUUGGAUUUAUAAAAGUAAAAUAUAAGUCAGAAGUGACUUGUGCUGAAAUCGGAAUG
rnacentral:lncRNA from 1 species